AGUAAACACAGUUGAUAAUAAAUGGUUUCAGCCAAAUACUAACCAUGAGUGAAAAAAAAGUGUGUUAUUUUUCUUAGUCUCUUAAAAACGGCCAAGUCGUCAUCAAUUCUGCCAGGGUAUGUAAACCUAUGAGCACAACUGUAUAUAUUGUUAUAUGCAUACGACAACCAAUAUUAAUGAGAUUUAGCCUCGUUUUUGCAUGAGGUUGUUUUAUUUUAUUUCAUCUUAGUACUGUAAAUCAGUUAGAGACUCCAGUAACAUGGCCACAACUUCCCCUCCUGUCAGUUUCACUGACAACACAGCCUCUGUCCAUCUGUGAUCAGCUUGCUUUGAUUGCUGUGUGUAUUGUUACACAUACUUCUCUGAGCCUACUUGUCCACUGAUGGGGUUAAAUUUUCUCCCCGCCGUGUUGACUCAGUAAGCUCCUUGUUUGAUUCAUCCCACCUGUCAUCCUAUCAAGCUUCUCCACGCUGCUAUUCGGGUCUAUUGCGCGCAGUGCUUUGGGGGUUAAUUAUCAGCUGUGUUUGGCCCACCCGAUAUCAUGUGAUGUUCACACGUCACAUAUCGAGUUAGGACAGGCUAUUUAAACGGCGUCUUGCUGUACACUUUGUGCAGAGCGCCGCAGGAUCAUAUGUUCAGUGAGCACUCAUGUUCCUAAUGCUGUGCAGUUCCUUUCUUGGACAAAGCAGCCGAUUCCCUUUGGCUCUAUAUACACCAAGCUUACUGUGAUUUUGCAACACUACCUUCGAUCCUUAUACAGAUCUUAUACAGUUAUUUUGUGAAAUCCACAUGAUUCCUCCUUUGAACUGAACACUGCAGCUUAAUUGCUCAUUGAUGCCCCUGGUCAUGAAUUCCUUAAACCGUUAUUUAUGAUUACGCACAUGACCAUUUGCACCUUGGCGGGAUUCUGUGUUUGUCGCUGGCUGUGGGCAACUCGUGGUUGUAUAUUUUGACUGGAUAUCGCUCCCUCCCCUGAAGAAGCGGAAGUCCGCGAAACAUGUAGGGUCCAUGCGAUUUCCUUUUCCAGUUGCAUCUGCAUUUUCAACUGACUGAUGCGUUGUUAUCCACUGAAUGCAAUCAACAAACUGGUUGUCCACCUUCUUUUAAAUUAUUGUAUUGUAUUUUUUGGAUCUUUUUGUAUAUAUGAAUAAAAUAUUUUUGUAUAUUUUGAAACAAGGAAUUUGCGCUUUCUCAUUACAAUCAAUCUGUUAAAAUACGCACCGUAAAUUAUCCCCUCUCCUUUCCUAUUGGAAAAAACUUUAUCUAUCUAAUUGGGAUUAGGUGCCUUUCCUUGGGUGAAUCUAUACAUUCUGGACCAUAUUUACAAUGGCCACAACUUGUUUAUAUCAAUGCUGGACUCUGGAAAUAUGGCCGCCAUAAGGUUUCUGAUAUAGAUAAUGCAGCGCCCUUUAGUGUUCGUCUCGUAUGAGGUUACAUAAACCUGCCUGUGUGAGCACCGCUAUUCCAAUUGCCCCAGGGACAACGUCUUAUACGACGAAGCAUAGGUCGGGCAGACGUCGGUAUGCCCGAAAGGGGUGCCAGCCACUGUUUUUACAGAAUGAUUGUAAUCUUACUGUUACUUGUACCAUGUUCCAUACAUGCCUGUGAGAAUAUCAUCAAGUUACAUUACUGUGGAGAAGAGGAGAUGCAUUCAAGUGGUAGAGCUCAAUAUUUGAUUUGCCUGCUGAGAGUCAUUCCUUUGUGGAUAUUUAUCCAUUGAUGUGUUUCUGACCUUAUUCUUACCUGUGGGAGUGGAGCACAUUUCGGGUGAAAUAGCAUGGAGAUCAUUAUGGAUUUUAAGUGGAACUUCACGUUUUCCUUCUAUGGACAUUGGGACUGUUCUCAUGUUAUCAUUUGUGGCACACUGCACUUUAUAUGAUUUAAAUGAGCGUUUUUUUAAGCACUUUAUAUCUACAUGAAUUAUACUACUACUGUUUUUAGCAAUGUAUUCUAUUAUGCACAUAUAGACAGCGCAGCAUUUUUCUUUAUAGUGUUUUGUAAAUAUUGGUGUGCAUCUGUCACACAUACUGAUUACCAUAUUUUUCUCACUAUAAGACACACUUUUUCAUCCUCAAAAAAUAGGGGUAAGUGUCCCUGCGUCUUAUGGAGUGAAUACUGCAAGGCCCGGCCCCCAUCGCUGCCGCCGUGUCAGAAUACAGACACUCGGCUUCUCUGUGUAAAAGAGAGAGGACAGGAUGUGAGGCAGGGGCAUACCAAGUGGAGCGGGGGAGGCGGACUGCCCCAGAUGCCAAAACAUGGGGGGUGUCAGUGGCGUUGCUAUAAUGGUGCGCUGCGCACCCAGGUGAGUUGACACCCGCAAGAUGUGACACCAUCCUGCAAGUGACAAGAGCCCUGGCUGGCUUUUUGCUUUCAGCUGGAACACCCCCGGCGCUGUGGUCUAUUCCAGUAUCACUUCCUGCCUCUCUCCACUGGCCGCUGCUGCUGCAAAAUAUGUCCUCAGUACUCCUUAGCUGCUGCCUGGGUGUAUCUGACGCUGAGAGACAGCCAGAGGGGAUGUGCAUUGUAAUGGCAGUGUCCUCCACUGCGUGAGGUGAGCUGGUGAUAAGGGGGAUGGGAGGUGUGGGCUUGCAUGGUAUCCACUGUUUAUCACCUGAGCUGUUGUAAUAAAAGAGGCUGAAGGGGUGUCUGUGUCUGCCCUGCCACCCUGAGCUAAUCUGGGAAGGGGGGGGGGGGGUUGCUGUGUGUCCACCACCCAGGUAUAGUGUAGCGGAGCUGAUUUGAUAGGGGAGCUGGUAUUACUGUGUCCACCACCCACCUAUAGUAGUAAUAUAAUAUUAAAUAUUUUAGUACAUCAUUUG